rnacentral:rRNA from 1 species
GACAGAGGGUGCAAACGUUGUUCGGAAUUACUGGGCGUAAAGCGCGCGCAGGCGGCUACCCAAGUCAGUGGUGAAAGCCCGGAGCUCAACUCCGGAACUGCCAUUGAAACUGUUUAGCUUGAGGACGAGAGAGGUGAGUGGAAUUCCCAGUGUAGAGGUGAAAUUCGUAGAUAUUGGGAAGAACACCGGUGGCGAAGGCGGCUCACUGGCUCGUAUCUGACGCUCAGGCGCGACAGCGUGGGGAUCAAACAGG